GGAUCUAGAGGGGAGGAAAUGAAAACAUCUGCCUUCAUAAAGGUGCUGCUCUUUCCUUCCAGGAUUCCCCAGGGCAUCCUUGGAGUGCCCCCAGUUUGAAUUGGAGAUAAAAGGUAUGGUCUUGUUGAAAUUGCCCCCAAAUUGAGCUGCACCUUCCAAUUGAGGCAGAAAGAAUCGCCUUUUGAUACGUUCCACAAUUGGAAUGCAAAUUCUCUCCCAUCUCCUAGACACCUGGGCCUGCCCCCAUUUUUCUUGACUGUAAUCUGUUUAGCUUGUGCAUAAAAUGGCAAAAACAAAGAGUCUUUCUGUAAAAGAAAAAGAAGAGGAAAGAAAGUAGAUUCUGUGUCCUCUUCCUUAGUCCUUGCCAAAUCUUUGCUCCCAGGCCUCGGCAGGUGGCAGUGUACAUGAGUCAUGCAGUCUAUCUUUCUGUUUUGUUUGUUAUUAACCACUGAAAUGAUGGCACCAUUCCUGGAGUUAGGCCUUCAACCAAAGAGCUGGGCCAUCCGUGGCAAUGCCUCCCAGGCUUGGGAGCUGGGAAAAGGCCCCAGGAGCUAGGGCAUCCUGAUUGUUCUUUCAAAGAAAUCCCUCUUGUUCUUAGUCAACAUGCUGGAUACCAGCUAAAAAAUGCAAAAUGAUCUUCAGGCAGGGAUGGCACAGGACCCUUGCUGAGCUGUGAAGCCUGGCUGUGAGGAUUCCUGCAUGGAAACAUCAACAUGUUGCCAGAUUGGUAUACGACUCAACACCACACUGUUUGAUUGGAGUUGAGCUGAUCUUGUCUGAACCUAGCUGGGCCUGGUCCGGGGCGGCAAAUUAGAUUCAGACAUGCUGCUCCCAAACAGUGCCUUUGAAUCAAGACCCAGUCAUCGUAUUCGAAGAAAAAGGAAAUAUCCCUGACCAUGUUGGGACUUAACACUGCUUCACAGAGUCCAUGGAGUUCCUGGUGACUAAUGCCAUCCACAAGAUCUGAAGGUGUUGUGUAACCUAGACCUGGCCCUUCUCUCAGUGCAUCCCCCUCUCCAGAGUGACCAACUCAGAGAGGUCAUGUGCUUAAGGGUGAGAACCACUACAGGACAAAAAUGAGCUCCUUUUUUCCAGUCUCAGCCCAGGAGGGAUCUUCACAGAGAAAGCAAGCCCAGCCCAUCCCCACAGCUGGCUCCCUGGUGCCCAUUCUGAAAGGCUGGACCCAUCCUGACCUGUCCCUGCCCCAAGGACUGCCUGGUGAGGGAUGGCUUACCAACACUGUGACUCAGUCCUUCCAACAUGCCCAACAGGUCAAUUCUGGGAUAUUCCUUACAGGAAUUAAUGAGAGCACAUUGCCGGUAAUGUUGGCAUUAGUAGAUUACAUUUAAAUUUAAAAAUUCCUUUUAUGGGGUUUAAGAAUAGAGACAAGACACCCAUGCAAUAAAGAAAGGAGGAGACUUUGCCUGGUCUAAUGGAGAAGCUGGAGCUGCAUUGUUGGGUACAGUGGCCAGUGGCUACACCUGGCUUUUGAGCCCUUGCACAGUGGCAAGGACACAUUGAGAUGUGCCCUAGGUGCAAGAUACACACAGGAUUUCAAAGACUGAGUAUGAAAAAAGAAGAAAAAAUGUCUCAUUAAUAUUUUUAUAUUGGUUGCAUGUGGAAGUGAUAACAUUUUGGAUAUAAAGUUGACCUUUGAACAGUAUGGGUUUGAACUGCACAGGUCUGCUUAUAAGUGAAAUUUCUUCUGCCUCUGCCACCCCUGAGACAGCAAGACCAACCCUCCACUUCCUCCUCCUCCUCCUCCUCCUCAACCUGCUCAACGUGAAGAUGAUGAAGAUCAAGACCUUCAUGAUGAUCUACUUCCACUUAAUGAAUAGUAAAUAUAUUUUCUCUUCCUUGUGAUUUUCUUAAUAACGUUUUCUUUCCUCUAGCUUAUUUUGUUGUAAGGAUACAGUGGUAUAUAAUAUUUAUAACAUACAAAAUAUGUGUUAACCAACUCUGCUAUCAGUAAGGCUUCUGAUCAACAGUAUGCUAACAUUUUUGGACAGUAGUUAAGUUUGGGCAGAGUCAAAAGUUAUAGGCAGAUUCUUGAUUGUGUGGGGUAUUGGCAUCCCUAAUCUCUGCACUGUUCAAGGGUAAACUG
rnacentral:lncRNA from 1 species